GAUGAACGCUGGCGGCGUGCUUAACACAUGCAAGUCGAACGGUGAACGAGGGAGCUUGCUCCCUCCGGAUCAGUGGCGAACGGGUGAGUAACACGUGAGCAAUCUGCCCUGGACUCUGGGAUAAGCGUUGGAAACGACGUCUAAUACCGGAUACGAGACGCGAAGGCAUCUUCAGCGUCUGGAAAGAACUUCGGUCCAGGAUGAGCUCGCGGCCUAUCAGGUAGUUGGUGAGGUAAUGGCUCACCAAGCCUACGACGGGUAGCCGGCCUGAGAGGGUGACCGGCCACACUGGGACUGAGCAACGGCCCAGACUGCGACGGGAGGCAGCAGUGGGGAAUAUGGGAAAAUGGGCGCAAGCCUGAUGCAGCAACGCCGCGUGGGGGACGACGGCCUUCGGGUUGUAAACCUCUUUUAGCAGGGAAGAAGCGAAAGUGACGGUACCUGCAGAAAAAGCACCGGCUAACUACGUGCCAGCCGCCGCCGUAAAAC
rnacentral:rRNA from 1 species